rnacentral:rRNA from 1 species
UACGUAGGGUGCGGGCGUUACUCGGAAUUACUGGGCGUAAAGCGUGCGCAGGCGGCCUCUUAAGUCAGAUGUGAAAUCCCCGGGCUUAACCUGGGAACUGCGUUUGAAACUGGGAGGCUUGAGUGUGGAAGAGGGGGGUGGAAUUCCAGGUGUAGCAGUGAAAUGCGUAGAGAUCUGGAGGAACACCGAUGGCGAAGGCAGCCCCCUGGGCUAACACUGACGCUCAUGCACGAAAGCGUGGGGAGCAAACAGG